rnacentral:rRNA from 1 species
AGAACGAACGCUGGCGGCAUGCCUAACACAUGCAAGUCGAACGAGACCUUCGGGUCUAGUGGCGCACGGGUGCGUAACGCGUGGGAAUCUGCCCUUGGGUUCGGAAUAACAGUUAGAAAUGACUGCUAAUACCGGAUGAUGACGUAAGUCCAAAGAUUUAUCGCCCAGGGAUGAGCCCGCGUAGGAUUAGCUAGUUGGUGAGGUAAAGGCUCACCAAGGCGACGAUCCUUAGCUGGUCUGAGAGGAUGAUCAGCCACACUGGGACUGAGACACGGCCCAGACUCCUACGGGAGGCAGCAGUGGGGAAUAUUGGACAAUGGGCGAAAGCCUGAUCCAGCAAUGCCGCGUGAGUGAUGAAGGCCUUAGGGUGUAAAGCUCUUUUACCCGGGAUGAUAAUGACAGUACCGGAGAAUAAGCCCGCUAACUCCGUGCCAGCAGCCGC